UCAUAGGAGUACAAACCCUAUUGUGAACUGUGUAUGCAGGGGAUCCAGGUUGCACCCUCCUAAUGAGAAUCUAAUCCCUGAUGAUCUGAGCUGGAACAGUUUCCUC